rnacentral:misc_RNA from 1 species
GAGUAUCGAAAGAUAAGAACUGUGAACGAACGAGUUGAUUUCCGGGCAGCCGGGGAUGUCAUUUUAGACUGAUGUUUAUAGUACUUUUAUUUUGUAAUAACGAUAGUAUA